rnacentral:rRNA from 1 species
AUACGUAGGGGGCAAGCGUUAUCCGGAUUUACUGGGUGUAAAGGGAGCGUAGGUGGUGUGGUAAGUCAGAUGUGAAAGCCCGGGGCUCAACCCCGGGACUGCAUUUGAAACUAUCAUGCUUGAGUACAGGAGAGGUAAGUGGAAUUCCUAGUGUAGCGGUGAAAUGCGUAGAUAUUAGGAGGAACACCAGUGGCGAAGGCGGCUUACUGGACUGUAACUGACACUGAGGCUCGAAAGCGUGGGGAGCAAACAGGAUUAGAUACCCUGGUAGUCCACGCGGUAAACGAUGAAUACUAGGUGUCGGGGGUCAAAAGACCUCCGGUGCCGCAGCUAACGCAAUAAGUAUUCCACCUGGGGAGUACGUUCGCAAGAAUGAA